UCCCUAACUGUCCAUCAUUUUUUUAUUCACCUUGAGUCCCGUGCUCAGGUUUCGUUUACCUUGUCUACCAAUUUCAAAUCAGACACCAUCACUCGACUCUUCUCUCUCCCCUUCUUUCUCUUUGAGACGAACGUCCAACUUCCCUCUCUCACCUUAAUUCUCUCUUUACCUAUUCUCGUAUCCUCUCUCUUCCUCAUCUCUUUUACGCAACAGCGACGUUGUCCACAAGUCACCAACGACCCUUAAAUUAUACCUCCAGGAUGCUCUUCAUGUCCUCUUUCCAACCCCUGAGUUAGUUUCUACAAAUUUGUAGCCGAAUUUCCUCAAUUUUAGAUCCAAGAAAUGGUGACCGUGGGUUUUUCUGCCAAUUUCCGGCCAAGCCUGCCAGAAUUGGACCUCGACCCAACAGGUAAAAAUGAUCAUCUCCUCGUGGGCUGUCAUCCAGUGUUUUAGCUGCUGAAAGUUCACAUUGAUGAGGAUUCUUGGCAAAUCUCAGUAUAGGUGGCUACCUCCGAGGCUUUGCAGUUUACCAUUUUUAUUUGCCCAAAGAACUUGCAGACAGGAUAGAGAGAGGCAACAAUUGUUGAGGCUCAAGCAUUAGGGGCAGUAGUUCGCUCUCAAGGUCCUUUGUUUGGAUGGUGUUCAAAUAAAUGUGAAGUCUUCAAAGUGACAAUGUCCUUGGUUGUUGAAGGUCUCUAGAUAGUUUGGUAUUUCUUUGUAUAUCUCAUUGUUUUUUUGUUAGCUUUAGUUUAGUGUGGGAUUGUAAUGUUUGAAUCUAUGAAUUUUUUUUAUUUAAUUGUUAUAUUGUAGUAAAUGCGUAAUUUUGUUUAUAAUUAUUAUAUAAUACAUUAUUAAA